rnacentral:tRNA from 1 species
CACGUCCGUUUCCGCUCCGAAGAAGAAGGUUUAGAUCUUUCAAUCUUAUGUCGUGAGGGAUGUGA